UACGUAGGGACCAAGCGUUGUUCGGAUUACUGGGCGUAAAGGGCGCGUAGGCGGUAUGACAAGUCACUUGUGAAAUCUCCGGGCUUAACUCGGAACGGCCAAGUGAAACUGUCAAACUAGAGUGCAGAAGGGCAAUCGGAAUUCUUGGUGUAGCGGUGAAUGCGUAGAUAUCAAGAGGAACACCUGAGGUGAAGACGGGUUGCUGGGCUGACACUGACGCUGAGGCGCGAAAGCCAGGGGAGCAAACGGG
rnacentral:rRNA from 1 species